rnacentral:ncRNA from 1 species
CCCCCCCUGCUCUGUCCUAGGGGUUCCCCCGCAGGGUCCGCGGGCCUGGACACCUGGGGGGUCGGCGGUGGAGGCAACUCUGGACGCGAGCGGGGUCCUUCCCGUGGAUUGCCCCAGCUGCUGCGGGCAUUGCAACAGCCCUCAGGUGGGCGGUCCAGCCCAGGAUUUUGGCCAGGGCUGCGCGCGCAGGUCUUUCCUCCGCCUGGCCCGCCCCUGGGGCCGAGGUUCCGCGUGGUGCCUUGCUUCAGCCGGUGCCUAGCAGCCCACUUAGACCUGGUGCAGACCGCGGGAAUCCGGCUGUUUAAUUCAAACAAAGCAUCGCGAAGUUCCGCGGAGGAUGUUGACGCCAUAUGAUUUCUGCCCAGUGCUCUGAAUGUCAAAGUGAAGAAAUUCAAUGAAGCGCGGGUAAAUGGCUGGAGUAACUAUGACUCUCUUAAGGUAGCCAAAUGUCUCGUCAUCUAAUUAGUGAUGCACAUGAAUGGAUGAAUGAGAUUCCCGCUGUCCCUACCUACUAUCCAGUGAAACCACAGCCAAGGGAACAGUCUUGGCGGAAUCAGCGGGGAAAGAAGACCCUGUUGAGCUUGACUCUAGUCUGGCAUGGUGAAAAGACAUGAGAGGUGUAGAAUAAGUGGGAGGCCCCCGGCGCCCCUUCCCUGAGAGCCAAGGUCGACCAGAUGGCCCGACUCGGACUCAGUCUCUGGCUGUCGAUUAGAGUGAUUGGCUGCGGGACUUUUUAUUUUAUUAUUUUAUUUUAUUAUGUAUUUUAUUUUAUUUAUUUAUUUUAUUUUAUUUUCAUUUUAUUUUAUAUAUUUUAUUUUAAUGCACAGCCAGUCUCUGGCGGUGGGGACCUGCCAUCCACAGAGAGAGUGCGGGUCGACCAGAUGGCCCAAUGGGGACUUGGUGUCUGGUAAGGACUCCAUCAUGCACAGAGAGCCGGGGUCGCCCAGAUGGACUGGCCUGGACUUAAGUCUCUGAUUGUGGAUCAGAGUGAUUUGGGUUGAUCGAAAUGUUGACAGGAUACUUUUUAUUUUAUUUACUUUUCUUUAUUUGAUCUGCUUGACCAGGAGCGGGAGCGGGGGUGGGGCCGAAGAGCAAAGAAAUGUUGACAGAAUACUUACUUUUUUUUCUUUCUUUUUUUAAAAAAAUAUAUAUUUUAUUGCUUUUUUUGCAAAGAGGAAGGGAGCGAGAUAGAGAGUUAGAAACAUCAGUGAGAGAGAAACAUUGAUCACCUGCCUCCUGCACACCUCCCACUGGGGAUGUGC